rnacentral:rRNA from 1 species
UACAGAGGUCUCAAGCGUUGUUCGGAUUCAUUGGGCGUAAAGGGUGCGUAGGCGGCGCGGUAAGUCGGGUGUGAAAUUUCGAGGCUUAACUUCGAAACUGCAUUCGAUACUGCCGUGCUUGAGGACUGGAGAGGAGACUGGAAUUUACGGUGUAGCAGUGAAAUGCGUAGAUAUCGUAAGGAAGACCAGUGGCGAAGGCGAGUCUCUGGACAGCAACUGACGCUGAGGCACGAAGGCCAGGGGAGCAAACGGG